UACGUAGGGGGCAAGCGUUGUCCGGAUUUAUUGGGCGUAAAGAGCGUGUAGGCGGCCUGAAAGGUCAGCUGUGAAAACUCGAGGCUCAACCUCGAGACGUCGGUUGAAACCAUCUGGCUAGAGUCCGGAAGAGGAGUGUGGAAUUCCCGGUGUAGCGGUGAAAUGCGCAGAUAUCGGGAGGAACACCAGUGGCGAAGGCGACUAUCUGGGCUGCAACUGACGCUGAGGCGCGAAGGCUAGGGUAGCAAACAGG
rnacentral:rRNA from 1 species